rnacentral:rRNA from 1 species
CGUACGAUACGAGUUUGAUCCCUGGCUCAGAACGAACGCUGGCGGCAGGCCUAACACAUGCAAGUCGAGCGAACCCUUCGGGGUUAGCGGCGGACGGGUUAGUAACGCGUGGGAAUAUACCCUUUGGUACGGAAUAGCCUCGGGGAAACUGAGAGUAAUACCGUAUGUGCCCUUCGGGGAAAGAUUUAUCGCCAAAGGAUUAGCCCGCGUUGGAUUAGGUAGUUGGUGGGGUAAUGGCCUACCAAGCCUACGAUCCAUAGCUGGUUUGAGAGGAUGAUCAGCAACACUGGGACUGAGACACGGCCCAGACUCCUACGGGAGGCAGCAGUGGGGAAUCUUAGACAAUGGGCGCAAGCCUGAUCUAGCCAUGCCGCGUGGACGAUGAAGGCCUUAGGGUUGUAAAGUCCUUUCAGAUGGGAAGAUAAUGACGGUACCAUCAGAAGAAGCCCCGGCUAACUCCGUG